rnacentral:rRNA from 1 species
UACGGGGGGAGCAAGCGUUGUUCGGAUUUACUGGGCGUAAAGGGCGCGUAGGCGGCCAUCGCAAGUCAAUUGUGAAAUCUCCGGGCUUAACUCGGAAAGGUCAACUGAUACUGCGAGGCUAGAGUGCGGAAGGGGCAACUGGAAUUCUCGGUGUAGCGGUGAAAUGCGUAGAUAUCGAGAGGAACACCUGCGGCGAAGGCGGGUUGCUGGGCCGACACUGACGCUGAGGAGCGAAAGCAUGGGGAGCGAACAGG